rnacentral:lncRNA from 1 species
GUUACCAUAGGAGCUGGUUUAUGUUUGGCUAUAAAAAUCAUUGGUCACUCUUUUUUAUGUACUUUUACUCAUCCUUUUUAACUUAAUAAUGUUUUAUAUGUUCUUCGAAUCAUCAAAAAUCUUUUAUCUAUAUCUUAAUUCACACAUAAUAAUUUUUGCUAUUUGGAGUUUUACCUUAACUAUUUUUAUGUAAAAGGCCUUAUCUCCAUUUAAACCC